CGCCCGAGGGGGCCCUUCUGGGAGCACCAGGGGACCUAAGGCGGGGCCAGCCCGGUAGUUCCGCAGGGCCACUCCUCAGGCCCCGCUCCGGGGGCUCCGGCAGGUCGGGGCCAGGGGCCUUUGUGAGCGCCCCAGGAGGGCGAGAGUCGGGAGUGCGGAGCCGUGUGUGCGGCGGCGGGGGGUGUGUGUGUGCGCGCCCGGGUGUGCGCGUGUGUGUGCGAGUGUGAGCGCCCAGGAGGGUGGGAGCGCGCGUUAGGGAUUCUGCUGGCAUCGCAGAGUGGAGAGCAGGAGGCAGGAGCGGGGCGCGCAGGGGAGCGCGGGGCCCUCCUGUGCACACGCACACACACAGAGCGCGCUCACACACACAUACACAUACACACACACACGCGCACACGCCCUCCCUGCCUCGCUCGUUGCCGCGGCCACCAUCUCAGAGCCGAGCCCUGCGGAGCGGGAACCCAAGCCGGAGCGGGAACAGGAGGGGAACAGAGCCGGGGAAUGCGGCCCCGGAGAGGAGCUGCGCGCGAAGUGCGCGCCCGGGACGCCUCCUGCUCCCACAGGCCCUGAGGCUCCUGUGCCCACAGGCAAAGAGAGAGACCGAGUCAAACCAGGCUGAUCCCGCAGCAGCUGCACUCCCCAAACGCCUGCCCACCCUGAGGUGUCCCUCUGAAGAGCCCCUGAGCCCGCUCACGCUACCCCCCCCCCC